UAAAAAAUGUCUUUUGAUUUUUUGCACGUAAUCAGAACGAACGACAGAGUCGUUAGAUACAUCACUUGUACUCCAGUUCGUAGCUGCUGCUGCUGUGGCUUCUCAGAACCUCCGUACGACGGAGGAGAGACCAAUAAUUCCUGACGUGAACUCACAUCGCAGACUAGGACUUAAACUGAUCGACAGCAUCCUUCAGCUUCCUCUUCGUCUUGUUUAUAAGCACUUUCAUACUUUCGUGUAUCAGCCAGGAGCUUUCCAGCAUUGGUCUGUAAGAAGUGCUAGUGGAGGUGACUUUGGUGGAAUGGGAGGAUUAGCAGCAGGCCGUUGUGCUGUUCGCGCAGAGACAAUCUUUCCUUUGGAAAUCACGUAAACAGAACAAAAAUCUGGUGCAGAUUUAACUAAGCUAGUUGGCACAUCUUGGUUUUUGAAUUUCCUGUCCAACCAGAAACUUUAUACAUGGAUAUUUUGUUGUGAACCAAUACAUUCAACAGGAUUUAAUUUAUUUUUAUUAUUAAAGAAUUUAUGAACCUGGUAA